UACGAAGGGGGCUAGCGUUGUUCGGAAUUACUGGGCGUAAAGCGCGUGUAGGCGGGCCGUUAAGUCGGGGGUGAAAGCCCAGAGCUCAACUCUGGAAUUGCCUUCGAUACUGGCGGCCUGGAGCAUGAUAGAGGCGAGUGGAAUUGCGAGUGUAGAGGUGAAAUUCGUAGAUAUUCGCAGGAACACCAGUGGCGAAGGCGACUCGCUGGAUCAUCGCUGACGCUGAGAAGCGAAAGCGUGGGGAGCAAACAGG
rnacentral:rRNA from 1 species